rnacentral:rRNA from 2 species
UUAUACAAUGGAGAGUUUGAUCCUGGCUCAGGAUGAACGCUAGCUACAGGCUUAACACAUGCAAGUCGCGGGGUAACAUCUGGGAGAGCUUGCUCUUCCAGGAUGACGACCGGCGCACGGGUGAGUAACGCGUAUCCAACCUGGCCCAUACCACGGGAUAGCCCGUCGAAAGGCGGAUUAAUACCGUAUGCUGUCAUUAAGAUGCAUAUAUUGAUGACGAAAGGACUGGCGGUAUGGGAUGGGGAUGCGUCUGAUUAGCUUGUUGGCGGGGUAACGGCCCACCAAGGCGACGAUCAGUAGGGGUUCUGAGAGGAAGGUCCCCCACAUUGGAACUGAGACACGGUCCAAACUCCUACGGGAGGCAGCAGUGAGGAAUAUUGGUCAAUGGGCGCAAGCCUGAACCAGCCAAGUAGCGUGAGGGAAGACUGCCCUACGGGUUGUAAACCUCUUUUGUUUGGGAAUAAAGUGCGGGACGUGUCCCGCAUUGCAUGUACCAUUUGAAUAAGGACCGGCUAAUUCCGUGCCAGCAGCCGCGGUAAUACGGAAGGUCCGGGCGUUAUCCGGAUUUAUUGGGUUUAAAGGGAGCGCAGGCCGUGGGUUAAGCGUGUCGUGAAAUUCCGUCGCUCAACGGCGGACGUGCGGCGCGAACUGGUCCACUUGAGUACGCGGGACGUUGGCGGAAUUCGUGGUGUAGCGGUGAAAUGCUUAGAUAUCACGAAGAACUCCGAUUGCGAAGGCAGCUGACGGUAGCGCAACUGACGCUGAGGCUCGAAAGUGCGGGUAUCGAACAGGAUUAGAUACCCUGGUAGUCCGCACGGUAAACGAUGGAUGCCCGCUAUUCGCCCACCUGGGCGAGUGGCCAAGCGAAAGCGUUAAGCAUCCCACCUGGGGAGUACGCCGGCAACGGUGAAACUCAAAGGAAUUGACGGGGGCCCGCACAAGCGGAGGAACAUGUGGUUUAAUUCGAUGAUACGCGAGGAACCUUACCCGGGCUUGAAUUGCAGAGGAAGGAUUUAGAGAUAAUGACGCCCUUCGGGGCCUCUGUGAAGGUGCUGCAUGGUUGUCGUCAGCUCGUGCCGUGAGGUGUCGGCUUAAGUGCCAUAACGAGCGCAACCCCUCUCCGUAGUUGCCAUCGGGUGAUGCCGGGCACUCUGCGGACACUGCCACCGUAAGGUGUGAGGAAGGUGGGGAUGACGUCAAAUCAGCACGGCCCUUACGUCCGGGGCUACACACGUGUUACAAUGGGGCAUACAGAGCGCCGGCGGCCGGCAACGUCCGUCCAAUCGCAAAAGUGUCCCCCAGUUCGGACUGGGGUCUGCAACCCGACCCCACGAAGCUGGAUUCGCUAGUAAUCGCGCAUCAGCCAUGGCGCGGUGAAUACGUUCCCGGGCCUUGUACACACCGCCCGUCAAGCCAUGAAAGCCGGGGGCGCCUGAAGUCCGUGACCGCAAGGGUCGGCCUAGGGCGAAACCGGUGAUUGGGGCUAAGUCGUAACAAGGUAGCCGUACCGGAAGGUGCGGCUGGAACACCUCCUUUCU